UAUUGACUAGUGCUAGAAUAUUACUGUUCAAAAAAUUGUUGCAUUGUCAUGUCCUCUAUCAUUUGUAUAAAAUCCAUACAUAGUUAAGAUCAUAAACACUUGAAUGCUGAUUUUGUUGUACAGUGUCACAUUCGCAGCGAAAUUUCCUUCCAAUUGUGAUGAUCAUCGUGGAUAAUUGGAUAUUCUCUUUUGCACCUUUUGGAUCUUUCCUUUUGACCCCACCCCAACACCUAGUGCACACCAUAUUUUGGAUGACGACUCCAUUGUUGCUAAGAGAAAGAUGGGUUGAAGCUUGAAGAUUGAGCCUUUUCUUAUUUUUUAAAACUUCAACUUAAACUCAAAUAUUUUUUUAAUUCUUAUUACUUAUUAAAUUCACUUUUUUUUUUAUUAUUGUUACUUUCUCUAUCUAUUUGUUAUUUUUGUUACCUUAUGUUGUCUUAUAACGAAGAUUGAGAAAUGUCUAAUUAUACUUAACGUUAAAUCA